GACGAACGCUGGCGGCGUGCCUAACACAUGCAAGUCGAGCGGUAAGGCCUUUCGGGGUACCCGAGCGGCGAACGGGUGAGUAACACGUGGGUGAUCUGCCCUGCACUUCGGGAUAAGCCUGGGAAACUGGGUCUAAUACCGGAUAUGACCUCCUAUCGCAUGGUGGGUGGUGGAAAGAUUUAUCGGUGCAGGAUGGGCCCGCGGCCUAUCAGCUUGUUGGUGGGGUAAUGGCCUACCAAGGCGACGACGGGUAGCCGACCUGAGAGGGUGACCGGCCACACUGGGACUGAGACACGGCCCAGACUCCUACGGGAGGCAGCAGUGGGGAAUAUUGCACAAUGGGCGAAAGCCUGAUGCAGCGACGCCGCGUGAGGGAUGACGGCCUUCGGGUUGUAAACCUCUUUCAGCAGGGACGAAGCGCAAGUGACGGUACCUGCAGAAGAAGCACCGGCUAACUACGUG
rnacentral:rRNA from 1 species